CCCUUAGAGUUUGAUCCUGGCUCAGGACGAACGCUGGCGGCGUGCUUAACACAUGCAAGUGGAGCGACGAACCAGGGCUUGCCCUGGGGCAGAGCCGCGAACGGGUGAGUAACACGUGGGUAACCUACCCCGAUGACCGGGACAACCCGAGGAAACUCGGGCUAAUACCGGAUGUUCUCUCUUCUCGUAAGGGAAGUGAGCAAAGAUAGCUUCGGCCUUCGCAUCGGGACGGGCCCGCGGCCCAUUAGCUUGUUGGUGGGGUAACGGCCUACCAAGGCGACGAUGGGUAGCUGGUCUGAGAGGACGAUCAGCCACACUGGGACUGAGACACGGCCCAGACUCCUACGGGAGGCAGCAGUGGGGAAUCUUGCGCAAUGGGCGAAAGCCUGACGCAGCAACGCCGCGUGGGGGAAGAAGGCCUUCGGGUUGUAAACCCCUUUCAGUUGGGACGAAGCUUCCAGGGUUAAUAGCUCUGUGGAGUGACGGUACCUUCAGAAGAAGCCCCGGCUAACUACGUGCCGGCAGCCGCGGUAAUACGUAGGGGGCUAGCGUUGUCCGGAAUCAUUGGGCGUAAAGCGCGUGCAGGCGGUCCGGUAAGUCCGCUGUGAAAGUCGGGGGCUCAACCCUCGGAUGCCGGUGGAUACUGUCGGGCUUGAGUACGGAAGAGGCGAGUGGAAUUCCUGGUGUAGCGGUGAAAUGCGCA
rnacentral:rRNA from 1 species